AGCAUUAAAGCACCACUUCCCAUACAAUCACUGAAGUUAAGCAAAGUUGAGCCUAGUCAGUACAUAGAUGAGUGACCGCUUGGGAAUCCCAGGUGCUGUA